CUGCACGAAUGGCGUAAUGAUGGCCAGGCUGUCUCCACCCGAGACUCAGUGAAAUUGAACUCGCUGUGAAGAUGCAGUGUACCCGCGGCAAGACGGAAAGACCCCGUGAACCUUUACUAUAGCUUGACACUGAACAUUGAGCCUUGAUGUGUAGGAUAGGUGGGAGGCUUUGAAGCGUGGACGCCAGUCUGCGUGGAGCCGACCUUGAAAUACCACCCUUUAAUGUUUGAUGUUCUAACGUGGACCCGUUACCCGGGUUGCGGACAGUGUCUGGUGGGUAGUUUGACUGGGGCGGUCUCCUCCUAAAGAGUAACGGAGGAGCACGAAGGUUGGCUAAUCCUGGUCGGACAUCAGGAGGUUAGUGCAAUGGCAUAAGCCAGCUUGACUGCGAGCGUGACGGCGCGAGCAGGUGCGAAAGCAGGUCAUAGUGAUCCGGUGGUUCUGAAUGGAAGGGCCAUCGCUCAACGGAUAAAAGGUACUCCGGGGAUAACAGGCUGAUACCGCCCAAGAGUUCAUAUCGACGGCGGUGUUUGGCACCUCGAUGUCGGCUCAUCACAUCCUGGGGCUGAAGUAGGUCCCAAGGGUAUGGCUGUUCGCCAUUUAAAGUGGUACGCGAGCUGGGUUUAGAACGUCGUGAGACAGUUCGGUCCCUAUCUGCCGUGGGCGCUGGAGAACUGAGGGGGGCUGCUCCUAGUACGAGAGGACCGGAGUGGACGCAUCACUGGUGUUCGGGUUGUCAUGCCAAUGGCACUGCCCGGUAGCUAAAUGCGGAAGAGAUAAGUGCUGAAAGCAUCUAAGCACGAAACUUGCCCCGA
rnacentral:rRNA from 1 species